UUGUUUUUCUAAAUAUCCUUUCUAUAAAAACAGUGAAGCUCAAACAGCAGCAGCUUUAGUUUCAGUCGUGACGUGAUUCUCAUCUGAAGAGUUUUCUGUGGAUGAAUUCAGCUCAAAUCAACUUCAGUUCCUGUGUCGGCAAAUGGGUUUUAUUCAAAAUCACCACGAAGAUUUCUUUCGUUUUGUUGGUUGGAUAUUAUUGGUGCAAGAUUUACAUUUGACACUGUUUACUUCAGUAAACCUUGACCUUAAUCUGUGACAAACUCUGUUUGUGUUUGUUCUUCAGGUGUGUUUGCUGAUUCAGAUGAAGUGAAGUCCGUGUCUGUGAUGGAGGGAGAUUCAGUCUCUCUACAGACUAACACUGAACUACAGACAAAUGAUGAGAGACAGACUGGAGCUGGAUCAUCAGACUGGAUCUCUGAUCAUCACAAACACCAGAAACACAGACUCUGGACUUUAUCAAGUGACCAUCAGAGGAGAAGAUUGACCACAUACAGAUUCAAUCUUACUGUCUCUGGUGAGUCACAAUUACAUUUGGGUCAUUUGUGCUGACAGUUUUCAUAAAAAUAUUUUCAUGAAGCAAAUCAAAAAGCAAUAAAAAUAUAUAUUUAAAAACAUUUAUUCAGAGACCAUAAAAAUGUCAAUAGUGCUCAGUGCAGUAUAACUUGUCAGUUGAAGUAUUUUUACACACCGAACACAUUUAAAAGACGGUCCAUGGUUUAAUGUGAGAUAAUGAUGAAUAUUGAAGUUGAUGUAAACUCUUCUCUCCACUGCGUCUAUCUGUCAUCCUCCAUUCAGCUUCAAACUGCAUGUAACAUACACCACAGUCAAGACAAUGACAUUCUCUCCCAGAUGAUUCACUGUUCCUAUUAUACCUGAACUGUGAAUAAAGUGCAAUGUUUUUAUUUUAUUUUAUAUAAAAUAACUUUAUCUUGCCAGA